AAUAAGUGUAGUUUUACACUAUUCACGUUCAACGUUUGACCGUUCGUCUUAUUUGAAUUUUUUUAUGAUUAGUAUUUUUAUUGCUAUUAGAUGAUAAAACAUGAAUAGUACUUUAUGUGUGACUAAAUAUUUUUAAAUUUUUCAUAAAUUUUUUAAAUAAGAUGAAUGGUCAAAUAUUGGGCAUAGAUAUCUAUGGCUGCAUUUAUU
rfam:Oryza glaberrima chromosome 2 Oglab02_0023_22, whole genome shotgun sequence.